rnacentral:lncRNA from 1 species
AUGCGAUUGGGGCAGGAAUGGGAUCAGGGAUGGGAUCAGAGCAGGAAUCAGGGAUGGGAUGGGGCAGGAAUGGGAUCAGGGAUUGGGUUCAGGGCAGGAAUGGGAUCAGGGAUCAUGGCAGGGAAGGGAUGGGGCAGGAGUGGGAUCAGGGAUGGGAUCAGAGCAGGAAUCAGGGAUGGGAUCAGGGAUGGGAUCAGAGCAGGGAUGGGAUCAGGGAUCAGAGUAGGGAUGGGAUGGGGCAGGAGUGGGAUCAGGGAUUGGGUUCAGGGCAGGAAUCAGGGAUGGGAUGGGGCAGGAAUGGGAUCAGGAAUCAGGGCUGGAAUGGGAUCAGGGCAGCGUUCAGGGAGGAAUGGGAUCAGGGAUCAGAAUAGGGAUGGGAUUGGGGCAGGAAUGGGAUCAGGGAUCAGAGUAGGGAUGGGAUGGGGCAGGAGUGGGAUCAGGAAUGGGAUCAGAGCAGGAAUGGGAUCAGGGAUCAUGGCAGGGAAGGGAUGGCAUCAGAGCAGGAAUCAGGGAUGGGAUGGGGCAGGAGUGGGAUCAGGAAUCAGGGCAGGAAUGGGAUCAGGGAUGGGGUCAGGGAGCAGUGGGAUCACAGUAGGGAUGGGAUUGGGGCAGGAGUGGAAUCGGGGAUGGGAUCAGAGCAUGAAUGGGAUGGGGCAGGAGUGGGAUCAGGGAUUGGGUUCAGGGCAGGAAUCAGGGAUGGGAUGGGGCAGGAAUGGGAUCAUGGCUGGAAUGGGAUCAGGGCAGGGAUGGGGUCAGGGCAGGGAUGAAAUCAGAGCAGGGAUGAAAUCAGAGCAGGGAUUGGGAUCAGGGCAGGAAUGGGAUGGGGCAGGGAUGGGAUCAGGGCACAGAGCUGGAGUGGGAUCACAGCUGGAAUGGGAUCGAGCAGGAACGGGAGAGCAGGGAUGGGAUCAGAGCAGAGCCUGGAGUUCCAUCCCAGGCUGGAUUGGAUUUCAGCUCCAUCCCAGGCUGGAUUUUUAUCCCAGGCUGGAUUUCCUUGGAUUUCCAUCCCAGGCUGGAUUUCCCUGGAUUUCCAUCCCAGGCUGGAUUUUCCUGGAUUUCCAUCCCAGGCUGGAUUCCCAUCCCAGCCAUUUCAGUUCCACCCCAGGCUGGAUUUCCCUGGAUUCCCAUCCCAGCUGCUGGCUCCCAGGGCUGGGCUCGUCCCUGUCUCUCUCUCUGGGUGUGAAACAGAAAUCAUGUUCUGAUGAUUUUUUUUUGUUGUUGUUGUUAUUUUGUAAAUCUUUACUCUUUUUACACCUUGUUUUUUUUGUAAGCUGA